rnacentral:rRNA from 1 species
CGGGUGCACUGAUCCAGCCGGGCCUUUCCCUCUGUGGAACCCCAUGGCCUUCACUGGCUGUGGUGGGGAAACAGGACUUUUACUUUGAAAAAAUUAGAGUGCUCCAGGCAGGCCUAUGCUCGAAUACAUUAGCAUGGAAUAAUAGAAUAGGACGUGUGGUUCUAUUUUGUUGGUUUCUAGGACCGCCGUAAUGAUUAAUAGGGACAGUCGGGGGCAUCAGUAUUCAAUUGUCAGAGGUGAAAUUCUUGGAUCUAUUGAAGACUAACUACUGCGAAAGCAUUUGCCAAGGAUGUUUUCAUUGAUAAGGAACGAAAGUUAGGGGAUCGAAGACGAUCAGAUACCGUCGUAGUCUUAACUAUAAACUAUGCCGACUAGGGAUCGGACGAUGUUAUUCUUUGACGCGUUCGGCACCUUUCGAGAAAUCAAAGUGCUUGGGCUCCAGGGGGGAGUAUGGUCGCAAGGCUGAAACUUAAAGAAAUUGACGGAAGGGCACCACCAGGGGUGGAACCUGCGGCUUUAAUUUGACUCAACACGGGGAAACUCACCAGGUCCAGACACAGUGAGGAUUGACAGAUUGAGAGCUCUUUCUUGAUUCUGUGGGUGGUGGUGCAUGGCCGUUCUUAGUUGGUGGAGUGAUUUGUCUGCUUAAUUGCGAUAACGAACGAGACCUUAACCUGCUAAAUAGCCCGUACUGCUUUGGCAGUUCGCCGGCUUCUUAGAGGGACUAUCGG